rnacentral:lncRNA from 1 species
GUCACGAGCCGGGGGGCAGGGCGAUGUUUGUGGUCCGCAGCUGAACACCGUGCCUGGCUGCCAGGUUGGAACCAGAGAUGAUCUCCCCAAUGGAGAGAGCAGCACCAAGGAUGAUGGAGAGGAAGGUGGCAGGAGAGCCCUGUCCAGAUGGAUUGUCUCUGAACCUUGCCCUUCCUCAAGAGGUGAGCACAGAGGAGACUGGACUGGUCACUGGGGGCCUGUUGGCCCAAGGUGAGGUGAGUCAAGGUUUCCUUGCUGAAUCCUGGGUAGGUUAUUUGGGCUGUCAUUCAAAGCCUGAUCCAUGCCUGGGAGCUUGACUCUGAGGCCUCCAUGUCUCCAGCAUUGACGAAAAUUCCCAGAGACCCCCGGUCUUACUCUGCAGACCAGAGUCUACUGCAAGGAAUGGCUUCCCC